rfam:Heterocephalus glaber contig64623, whole genome shotgun sequence.
GGAGGUAUGGCUCAGUGGCAGAGCACUUGUCUAGCAUGCGGGAGGCCCUGGGGUUUAGGCCCAGCAUCUUUG